rnacentral:rRNA from 1 species
GAUGAACGCUGGCGGCAUGCCUAAUACAUGCAAGUCGAACGAGAGGAAGGAAAGCUUGCUUUUCUGAAUCUAGUGGCGAACGGGUGAGUAACACGUAGGUAACCUGCCCAUGUGCCCGGGAUAACUUCUGGAAACGGAUGCUAAAACCGGAUAGGUAGCAGACAAGCAUUUGACUGCUAUUAAAGUGGCCUUGGCCAUGAACAUGGAUGGACCUGCGGUGCAUUAGCUGGUUGGUGAGGUAACGGCCCACCAAGGCGACGAUGCAUAGCCGGCCUGAGAGGGCGGACGGCCACAUUGGGACUGAGACACGGCCCAAACUCCUACGGGAGGCAGCAGUAGGGAAUUUUCGUCAAUGGGGGGAACCCUGAACGAGCAAUGCCGCGUGAGUGAGGAAGGUCUUCGGAUCGUAAAGCUCUGUUGUAAGAGAAAAACGGCACUCAUAGGGAAUGAUGAGUGAGUGA